rnacentral:misc_RNA from 1 species
UCUCCGUUGGUGAAUCAGCGGAGGGAUCAUUAUAGAGUUUUCUAAACUCCCAACCCUUUGUGAACACAUCUUGUUGCUUCGGGGGCGACCCUGCCGGCACUCUGUCGCCGGGCGCCCCCGAAGGUCUCCAAACACUGCAUCUUUGCGUCGGAGUUUGAAACAAAUUAAACAAAACUUUCAACAACGGAUCUCUUGGUUCUGGCAUCGAUGAAGAACGCAGC